rnacentral:rRNA from 1 species
UGGGCAACCUGCCCCUCUCUCUGGGAUAACCCCGGAAAACCGGAGCUAAUACCGGAUACUCCGGCUGGAUCGCAUGGUCCGGCCGGGAAAGGUCCGCCGGAGAGGGAUGGGCCCGCGGCCUAUCAGCUUGUUGGUGGGGUCAUGGCUCACCAAGGCGACGACGGGUAGCUGGUCUGAGAGGGCGACCGGCCACACUGGGACUGAGACACGGCCCAGACUCCUACGGGAGCA